rnacentral:lncRNA from 1 species
AAUACCACUGCGUCGGCCCUCGCGAGGUCUUCGUCGCGAGAAAUGACGAACGUGACGUCGAUCGAGAUAAAGUCCGUAUUUCCACACAAGAAUCAAGAACCGUUUCGGCCAGUAUCGACGCAGCCAUUCGCUCAGUAUCGACAGAUUUCCCGCCCGAUUAUUCAUGCUCGCGGUGCCCGCGAGCUCGAGCACCACCAGCAAACACCCGAUCGCCGAAAAGCUCGCGAACAAUAUUAUCCAUUUAUUUCGAAAGCGAAUCAUUUUUGUCAUUAUUUAUAAACUUUCUUUUUGACGAUAUUUCAGAUCUUCGCGGGCGGAUUAUGCACUGUGAAAAACGCGACUGCCGCUCGACAACUAUUCUGACAAAUUGAAGAGGAGCGCGUGUGAGGAGGAAUAAAGCAGAGGAGAUUUUAAAAAUCACAAACGAAACGUAACAAGAGACUGUCGCCUCCACUUUCCCGAAGUAAGCAGCGUGACCACGCACUCAACGAAAACUACCGUUCAAAGGCUCCAUUGUUCUUCUCGGAGCUGCCAUCCUCGGAUACGUUUGUUGGCUAUUUUUCAGUUUUAAAACAUUCACGUAAAUAUUCGCGUCGGGGAUGAACACUCGAAAACGCAUCACAGACGAUUCGAUGUCGAAAUUCAAUGAAUAAAUUCGGAAUUUUUGUAGCACAGAAAGUGAACUAAUUUCCAUUUAAAUCUUACACAUUUUCGUAUCAAGUGUCAUUGAAACUUGCAAGAAACUGACAAGAGCAGAUUUUCUAGUGAAUAAACUCCUUAUUUACAUUUUAGACUCGAUCUUUCAUUUCUUUUACGCGACGUCGAAACUUAUUGUGAGAAGCGAGCACCGAGAAUGUCAUUUCAUGAGACCUGUCAAAAUUGACAGCUGUCAAAACCACAACGAGUCCUUCGAUUAUUCCUAUCACAGGCUCUCCAAACAAUUGAUGUUUAUCUGUAAUGUAGUACGAGCUUCAUAAACAUAUUUUCGAGGAACAAAUCGAAGAUGAUCGAAUCCACAGAAUCGUACUCGUCGUGGAGCACCUUUUUUUCGAGGAUCAUCCAGUUAUCGGCUAAAGUAGCAUUCAAAAUAACGAUCGAGAAAAAAAAUGUCAUAUGUCAAAACUAAGUCACAAGAUAUUCUAGUUUUGAGGCUUCCACGGCCAUUAGUGUUGGAAAAGUUACUGCGCGUAGCUUCCGGAUGCCGUGUCAAGAUCACCGUGUCACCGACGCUUCGCAACGUUACAGUUUGCAUCAUUAGAGCUACUGGGAGCCCCGAUACUGAGGCUCCCUGGUCUCAGGUAGUCCUCAUAUACGCCUGUUCAUCGUUCCGCAUGGCUGCGUCAGCCAACCAGAUUUUUCGUUGAUCAGCUGAUCAAUUAAAAAAAUCAAUUAUAAGAAUGAAAAGAAGUAAGAAGAACAUGGAUACAAUUUUUUACGUUAAUAAAUUUGAAUGUUUUUCGAGAAAAGAUUCUUGAAGAAUGGCUCAUUUUGACUGCGCGUAUGAUUCUCGUUCCCUGAUUCUUGUUAGUACUUCAAUAAUGAGAUUUUCAAUCGCAUAG